rnacentral:rRNA from 1 species
GACGUAGGGCGCGAGCGUUGUCCGGAUUUAUUGGGCGUAAAGAGCUCGUAGGCGGCUUGUCGCGUCGAAUGUGAAAACUCGGGGCUCAACCCCGCGCUUGCAUUCGAUACGGGCAGGCUCGAGUUCGGUAGGGGAGACUGGAAUUCCUGGUGUAGCGGUGAAAUGCGCAGAUAUCAGGAGGAACACCAAUGGCGAAGGCAGAUCUCUGGGCCGUAACUGACGCUGAGGAGCGAAAGCAUGGGGAGCGAACAGG